AGUCGAACGGUAAGGCCCCUUCGGGGGUACACGAGUGGCGAACGGGUGAGUAACACGUGGGUAAUCUGCCCUGCACUUCGGGAUAAGCCUGGGAAACCGGGUCUAAUACCGGAUAUGAACUCCUGCCGCAUGGUGGGGGUUGGAAAGUUUUUCGGUGCAGGAUGAGCCCGCGGCCUAUCAGCUUGUUGGUGGGGUAAUGGCCUACCAAGGCGACGACGGGUAGCCGGCCUGAGAGGGUGAUCGGCCACACUGGGACUGAGACACGGCCCAGACUCCUACGGGAGGCAGCAGUGGGGAAUAUUGCACAAUGGGCGAAAGCCUGAUGCAGCGACGCCGCGUGGGGGAUGACGGUCUUCGGAUUGUAAACCCCUUUCAGUAGGGACGAAGCGCAAGUGACGGUACCUGCAGAAGAAGCACCGGCUAACUACGUGCCAGCAGCCGCGGUAAUACGUAGGGUGCGAGCGUUGUCCGGAAUUACUGGGCGUAAAGAGCUCGUAGGCGGUUUGUCACGUCGUCUGUGAAAUCCCUCGGCUUAACCGGGGGCGUGCAGGCGAUACGGGCAGACUUGAGUACUACAGGGGAGACUGGAAUUCCUGGUGUAGCGGUGAAAUGCGCAGAUAUCAGGAGGAACACCGGUGGCGAAGGCGGGUCUCUGGGUAGUAACUGACGCUGAGGAGCGAAAGCAUGGGUAGCGAACAGGAUUAGAUACCCUGGUAGUCCAUGCCGUAAACGGUGGGCGCUAGGUGUGGGGUCCUUCCACGGACUCCGUGCCGUAGCUAACGCAUUAAGCGCCCCGCCUGGGGAGUACGGCCGCAAGGCUAAAACUCAAAGGAAUUGACGGGGGCC
rnacentral:rRNA from 1 species